ensembl:rRNA 5S_rRNA 5S ribosomal RNA
GUCUACCGCCAUACACCCUGAACCCACCUGAUCGCGUCUGAUCUUGGAAGCUAAGCAAGGUCAGGCGUGGUUAGUACUUGGACGGGAGAAUUGUGCUAUCCUAGCAACUGUGGUUG